rnacentral:rRNA from 1 species
GACGAAAGCUGGCGGCGUGCUUAACACAUGCAAGUCGAACGGAAAGGCCCCUUUGGGGGUACUCGAGUGGCGAACGGGUGAGUAACACGUGAGUAACCUGCCCUUGACUUCGGGAUAACUUCAGGAAACUGGGGCUAAUACCGGAUAGGAAUCCUUGCUGCAUGGUGGGGGUUGGAAAGCUUCGGCGGUUUUGGAUGGACUCGCGGCUUAUCAGCUUGUUGGUGGGGUAGUGGCUUACCAAGGCUUUGACGGGUAGCCGGCCUGAGAGGGCGACCGGCCACAUUGGGACUGAGAUACGGCCCAGACUCCUACGGGAGGCAGCAGUGGGGAAUAUUGCACAAUGGGCGGAAGCCUGAUGCAGCAACGCCGCGUGCGGGAUGACGGCCUUCGGGUUGUAAACCGCUUUCAGCAGGGGCGAAGCUUGUGGUGACGGUACCUGCAGAAGAAGCACCGGCUAACUACGUG